AGAAGGGCAUUCUGAAAGUUCCUGCCAGAGGACAAAGAGUGAUGAAAGGCAAGAAGAAACAGGCCCAGCCACCGCCUGCGAAGAAGAGGAAACUGACACAGUACAAUGAGCAGCUCCAUAUCUUGGAAAUGCUGGGAAAGGGGAAAAAGCGCCACCUACUGGCAUGCAAUGAGAUCUUUUUUCCCUUGCCUUCCCACUCGGCCCAGUCAAGCUUCGGAGAGCUGAGCUGACCAGGACACUGGGCCGUGUGGCAUGAGGACUUGUCAGAUGGGAGAGAUGAGCCCGUGCCGUCUGGCUCCACCUGACCUCGCUCUGCCAGGACCAGCACCAGGAGAACAAGCAGUUACAGUGCAGAGGUCCAGCACCACCCAGA